GCCUGGGUGGCUCAGUUGGUUGAGCGUCUGACUUCAGCUCGGGUCGUGAUCUCGCGGUCCGUGAGUUUGAGCCCCACGUCGGGCU
rnacentral:tRNA from 1 species